rnacentral:rRNA from 1 species
UACGAAGGGGGCUAGCGUUGUUCGGAAUCACUGGGCGUAAAGGGCGCGUAGGCGGCUUGACAAGUCAGGUGUGAAAGCCCCGGGCUCAACCCGGGAAUUGCACUUGAUACUGUCUGGCUAGAGUUCGGGAGAGGAUGGCGGAAUUCCCAGUGUAGAGGUGAAAUUCGUAGAUAUUGGGAAGAACACCGGUGGCGAAGGCGGCCAUCUGGACCGAAACUGACGCUGAGGCGCGAAAGCGUGGGGAGCAAACAGG